rnacentral:rRNA from 1 species
AGUGAACGCUGGCGGCAGGCCUAACACAUGCAAGUCGAACGGCAGCACAAGAGAGCUUGCUCUCUGGGUGGCGAGUGGCGGACGGGUGAGGAAUGCAUCGGAAUCUGCCCAUUUGUGGGGGAUAACCUCGGGAAACCGGGACUAAUACCGCAUACGACCUACGGGUGAAAGCAGGGGAUCUUCGGACCUUGCGCAGAUGGAUGAGCCGAUGCCGGAUUAGCUAGUAGGAGGGGUAAAGGCCCACCAAGGCGACGAUCCGUAGCUGGUCUGAGAGGAUGAUCAGCCACACUGGGACUGAGACACGGCCCAGACUCCUACGGGAGGCAGCAGUGGGGAAUAUUGGACAAUGGGCGCAAGCCUGAUCCAGCCAUGCCGCGUGUGUGAAGAAGGCCUUCGGGUUGUAAAGCACUUUUGUUGGGAAAGAAAAGCAGCCGGUUAAUACCCGGUUGUCAUGACGGUACCCAAAGAAUAAGCACCGGCUAACUUCGUG